rnacentral:rRNA from 1 species
GCAAUACCGCUGACGACCGGCGCACGGGUGAGUAACACGUAUCCAACCUUCCCAUAACUCGGGGAUAGCCUUUCGAAAGAAAGAUUAAUACCCGAUAGUACUUUUUUAGGGCAUCUUAGAAAAGUUAAAGAUUUAUUGGUUAUGGAUGGGGAUGCGUUCCAUUAGAUAGUUGGUGAGGUAACGGCUCACCAAGUCUUCGAUGGAUAGGGGUUCUGAGAGGAAGGUCCCCCACAUUGGUACUGAGACACGGACCAAACUCCUACGGGAGGCAGCAGUGAGGAAUAUUGGUCAAUGGGCGAGAGCCUGAACCA